GGACCAUCCUCCAAGGCUAAAUACUCCUGACUGACCGAUAGUGAACCAGUACCGUGAGGGAAAGGCGAAAAGAACCCCGGCGAGGGGAGUGAAAAAGAACCUGAAACCGUGUACGUACAAGCAGUGGGAGCACCUUCGGGUGUGACUGCGUACCUUUUGUAUAAUGGGUCAGCGACUUAUAUUCUGUAGCAAGGUUAACCGUAUAGGGGAGCCGCAGGGAAACCGAGUCUUAACUGGGCGUUAAGUUGCAGGGUAUAGACCCGAAACCCGGUGAUCUAGCCAUGGGCAGGUUGAAGGUUGGGUAACACUAACUGGAGGACCGAACCGACUAAUGUUGAAA
rnacentral:rRNA from 1 species